UACGUAGGGCGCAAGCGUUGUCCGGAAUUAUUGGGCGUAAAGAGCUCGUAGGCGGCCAGUUGCGUCCGCUGUGAAAUCCCGGGGCUUAACCCCGGGCGUGCAGUGGAUACGGGCUGGCUAGAGGCAGGCAGGGGAGAACGGAAUUCCUGGUGUAGCGGUGAAAUGCGCAGAUAUCAGGAGGAACACCGGUGGCGAAGGCGGUUCUCUGGGCCUGUACUGACGCUGAGGAGCGAAAGCGUGGGGAGCGAUCCGG
rnacentral:rRNA from 1 species